rnacentral:rRNA from 2 species
GAUGAACGCCGGCGGUGUGCCUAAUACAUGCAAGUCGAACGCGUUGGCCCAAUUGAUUGACGGUGCUUGCAUCUGAUUGAUUUUGGUCGCCAACGAGUGGCGGACGGGUGAGUAACACGUAGGUAACCUGCCCAGAAGCGGGGGACAACAUUUGGAAACAGAUGCUAAUACCGCAUAACAGCGUUGUUCGCAUGAACAACGCUUAAAAGAUGGCUUCUCGCUAUCACUUCUGGAUGGACCUGCGGUGCAUUAGCUUGUUGGUGGGGUAACGGCCUACCAAGGCGAUGAUGCAUAGCCGAGUUGAGAGACUGAUCGGCCACAAUGGGACUGAGACACGGCCCAUACUCCUACGGGAGGCAGCGUAGGGAAUCUUCCACAAUGGGCGCAAGCCUGAUGGAGCAACACCGCGUGAGUGAAGAAGGGUUUCGGCUCGUAAAGCUCUGUUGUUAAAGAAGAACACGUAUGAGAGUAACUGUUCAUACGUGGACGUAUUAACCAGAAA